rnacentral:rRNA from 1 species
AUGGUUAGCUACCCCCGGGACUGGGAUAGCGGCGGGAAACUGCCGGUAAUACCAGAUGACAUCUUCGGAUCAAAGGUGUGAAUCCGCCCGGGGAGGCGACCAUGUCCUAUCAGCUUGUUGGCGGGGUAACGGUCCACCAAGGCUAAGACGGGUAUGGGGCGUGAGAGCGUGCCCCCACUCACUGGGACUGAGACACUGCCCAGACACCUACGGGUGGCUGCAGUCGAGAAUCUUCGGCAAUGGGCGCAAGCCUGACCGAGCGACGCCGCGUGCGGGAUGAAGGCCUUCGGGUUGUAAACCGCUGUCGUAGGGGAGGAAGCAACCGUGAAGAACGGAAGUUGACCGAUCCUAGGAGGAAGGGCCGGCUAAUCUCGUGCCAGCAGCCGCGGUAAUACGAGAGGCCCAAACGUUAUUCGGAUUUACUGGGCUUAAAGAGUUCGUAGGCGGCGCAGAAAGUGGGGUGUGAAAGCCCUCGGCUCAACCGAGGAAUUGCGCUCCAAACUACUGUGCUU